rnacentral:tRNA from 2 species
UGGCCCAUCGUCUAAUGGCAGGACAACCGGUUUUGGUCCGGUCGGUCGGGGUUCGAAUCCCUGUGGGCCAGCCA